rnacentral:rRNA from 1 species
GACGAACGCUGGCGGCGUGCUUCAUACAUGCAAGUCGAACGAGAAGCUGACUUCGGUCAGUGGAAAGUGGCGGACGGGUGAGUAAUAUGUAGGAAAUCUGCCUUUAGGAGGGGGACAACAGAGGGAAACUUCUGCUAAUACCCCAUAUGAGCGUAGCUGAAAUGCUAUUCUUGAAAACUCCGGUGCCUAAAGAUGAGCCUGCAUCUGAUUAGCUAGUUGGUAGUGUAAUGGACUACCAAGGCGACGAUCAGUAGCUGGUUUGAGAGGAUGAUCAGCCACAAUGGGACUGAGACACGGCCCAUACUCCUACGGGAGGCAGCAGUAGGGAAGUUUGCGCAAUGGGCGAAAGCCGGACGCAGCAACGCCGCGUGAACGAUUAAGCCCUUCGGGGUGUAAAGUUCUGUCAGUGGGGACGAAACUUGACGGUACCCACAGAGGAAGCACCGGCUAACUCCGUG